GGCUCUGAGGUGUAGUGUUUUAACACCAACAGCUCCAUCAAAAGGCAUUGAGGGUGGGUUCAAAUCCCGCCUGAGCCG
rnacentral:tRNA from 1 species